GAGACUGGGUGCUUCGGCGCCCGACCUCCAACCCCCUGUCUACCUUACCACUGUUGCCUCGGCAUUUCUGCCCACCCCCCCUUCGCAGGGGGAUGGGCGAUGUGCCGGCGGCCAAAAACAAAAAACCCUUUUCAAACCAAGCAUUCUGAGAAAUUAUUUAAUAACUUCAAAACUUUCAACAACGGAUCUCUUGGUUCU
rnacentral:misc_RNA from 1 species